rnacentral:rRNA from 1 species
CCUACGGGGGGCUGCAGUGGGGAAUAUUGCACAAUGGAGGGAACUCUGAUGCAGCGACGCCGCGUGAGUGAAGAAGGUCUUCGGAUCGUAAAACUCUGUCCUUGGUGAAGAAAAGGACGGUAGCCAAGGAGGAAGCCCCGGCUAACUACGUGCCAGCAGCCGCGGUAAUACGUAGGGGGCGAGCGUUGUCCGGAUUUACUGGGCGUAAAGGGUGAGUAGGCGGUUAUAUAUGUCAGGUGUAAAAGAUCAUGGCUCAACCAUGGUUGGCACUUGAAACUGUAUGACUUGAGUGCAGGAGAGGUAAGCGGAAUUCCUAGUGUAGCGGUGAAAUGCGUAGAUAUUAGGAGGAACACCAGUGGCGAAGGCGGCUUACUGGACUGUAACUGACGCUGAGACACGAAAGCGUGGGUAGCAAACAGGAUUAGAUACCCCUGUAGUC